CCUACGGGUGGCAGCAGUGAGGAAUAUUGGUCAAUGGGCGGAAGCCUGACGCAGCGACGCCGCGUGAGGGAUGAAGGUCUUCGGAUCAUAAACCUCUGUCAGCAGGGAAGAACGGUCACUGUGCUAAUCAGCAGUGAAUUGACGGUACCUGCAAAGGAAGCACCGGCUAACUCCGUGCCAGCAGCCGCGGUAAUACGGAGGGUGCGAGCGUUAAUCGGAAUUACUGGGCGUAAAGCGCUCGUAGGCGGUAUGUCACGUCAAGGGUGAAAUCCCCGCGCUCAACGUGGGAACUGCCUUUGAAACUGGCAAACUGGAGUGUGUGAGAGGAUAGUGGAAUUCCAGGUGUAGGAGUGAAAUCCGUAGAUAUCUGGAGGAACAUCAGUGGCGAAGGCGGCUUACUGGACUGCAACUGACGUUGAGGCUCGAAAGCGUGGGGAGCAAACAGGAUUAGAUACCCGGGUAGUC
rnacentral:rRNA from 1 species